UGGCUCAGGAUGAACGCUAGCUACAGGCUUAACACAUGCAAGUCGAGGGGAAACGACAUCGAAAGCUUGCUUUUGAUGGGCGUCGACCGGCGCACGGGUGAGUAACGCGUAUCCAACCUGCCCACCACUUGGGGAUAACCUUGCGAAAGUAAGACUAAUACCCAAUGACGUCUCUAGAAGACAUCUGAAAGAGAUUAAAGAUUUAUCGGUGAUGGAUGGGGAUGCGUCUGAUUAGCUUGUUGGCGGGGUAACGGCCCACCAAGGCUACGAUCAGUAGGGGUUCUGAGAGGAAGGUCCCCCACAUUGGAACUGAGACACGGUCCAAACUCCUACGGGAGGCAGCAGUGAGGAAUAUUGGUCAAUGGACGAGAGUCUGAACCAGCCAAGUAGCGUGCAGGAUGACGGCCCUAUCGGUUGUA
rnacentral:rRNA from 1 species